UUGAAGAGUUUGAUCAUGGCUCAGAUUGAACGCUGGCGGCAGGCCUAACACAUGCAAGUCGAACGGUAGCAGGAAGUGCUUGCACUUCGCUGACGAGUGGCGGACGGGUGAGUAAUGCUUGGGAACUUGCCUUUGCGAGGGGGAUAACAGUUGGAAACGACUGCUAAUACCGCAUAACGUCUACGGACCAAAGGGGGCUUCGGCUCUCGCGUAAAGAGCAGCCCAAGCGAGAUUAGCUAGUUGGUGUGGUAAAGGCGCACCAAGGCGACGAUCUCUAGCUGUUCUGAGAGGAAGAUCAGCCACACUGGGACUGAGACACGGCCCAGACCUCUACGGAGGGCAGCAGUGAGGAAUCUUGCGCAAUGGGCGAAAGCCUGACGCAGCCACGCCGCGUGUCGGAAGACGGCCCUAUGGGUUGUAAACGACUUUUAUCAGGGAAGAACGAGGGGGUUUUGAUCUCCUGUGACGGUACCUGAUGAAUAAGCACCGGCUAACUCCG
rnacentral:rRNA from 1 species